GGGGAUUUGGCUCAGUGGUAGAGUGCUUGCCUAGGAAGCGCAAGGUCCUGGGUUCAAUCCCCAGCCCUG
rnacentral:tRNA from 1 species